UGGGGAAUAUUGCACAAUGGGCGCAAGCCUGAUGCAGCCAUGCCGCGUGUGUGAAGAAGGCCUUCGGGUUGUAAAGCACUUUCAGCGAGGAGGAAGGUGGUGAGCUUAAUACGCUCAUCAAUUGACGUUACUCGCAGAAGAAGCACCGGCUAACUCCGUGCCAGCAGCCGCGGUAAUACGGAGGGUGCAAGCGUUAAUCGGAAUUACUGGGCGUAAAGCGCACGCAGGCGGUUUGUUAAGUCAGAUGUGAAAUCCCCGGGCUCAACCUGGGAACUGCAUUUGAAACUGGCAAGCUAGAGUCUCGUAGAGGGGGGUAGAAUUCCAGGUGUAGCGGUGAAAUGCGUAGAGAUCUGGAGGAAUACCGGUGGCGAAGGCGGCCCCCUGGACGAAGACUGACGCUCAGGUGCGAAAGCGUGGGGCAGCAAACAGGAUUAGAUACCCUGGUAGUCCACGCUGUAAACGAUGUCGAUUUUGGAGGUUGUGCCCUUGAGGCGUGGCUUCCGGAGCUAACGCGUUAAAUCGACCGCCUGGGGAGUACGGCCGCAAGGUUAAAACUCAAAUGAAUUGACGGGGUC
rnacentral:rRNA from 1 species